AGUAGGGAAUCUUCCACAAUGGACGCAAGUCUGAUGGAGCAACGCCGCGUGAGUGAAGAAGGUUUUCGGAUCGUAAAGCUCUGUUGUUGGUGAAGAAGGAUAGAGGUAGUAACUGGCCUUUAUUUGACGGUAAUCAACCAGAAAGUCACGGCUAACUACGUGCCAGCAGCCGCGGUAAUACGUAGGUGGCAAGCGUUGUCCGGAUUUAUUGGGCGUAAAGCGAGCGCAGGCGGAAGAAUAAGUCUGAUGUGAAAGCCCUCGGCUUAACCGAGGAACUGCAUCGGAAACUGUUUUUCUUGAGUGCAGAAGAGGAGAGUGGAACUCCAUGUGUAGCGGUGGAAUGCGUAGAUAUAUGGAAGAACACCAGUGGCGAAGGCGGCUCUCUGGUCUGCAACUGACGCUGAGGCUCGAAAGCAUGGGUAGCGAACAGGAUUA
rnacentral:rRNA from 1 species